CCUACGGGUGGCAGUAGUGGGGAAUAUUGGACAAUGGGCGAAAGCCUGAUCCAGCCAUGCCGCGUGUGUGAAGAAGGCCUUCGGGUUGUAAAGCACUUUCAGUGGGGAAGAAAGCCUUGGGGCUAAUACCCUCGAGGAAGGACAUCACCCACAGAAGAAGCACCGGCUAACUCCGUGCCAGCAGCCGCGGUAAUACGGAGGGUGCGAGCGUUAAUCGGAAUUACUGGGCGUAAAGCGCGCGUAGGCGGUCUGAUAAGCCGGUUGGGAAAGCCCCGGGCUCAACCUGGGAACGGCAUCCGGAACUGUCAGGCUAGAGUGCAGGAGAGGAAGGUAGAAUUCCCGGUGUAGCGGUGAAAUGCGUAGAGAUCGGGAGGAAUACCAGUGGCGAAGGCGGCCUUCUGGACUGACACUGACGCUGAGGUGCGAAAGCGUGGGUAGCAAACAGGAUUAGAUACCCCUGUAGUC
rnacentral:rRNA from 1 species